CACGUAGGCACCAAGCGUUGUCCGGAUUUAUUGGGCGUAAAGAGCUCGUAGGCGGUUCGGUAAGUCGGGUGUGAAAACUCUGGGCUCAACCCAGAGCCGCCACCCGAUACUGCUGUGACUCGAGUGCGGUAGGGGAGCGGGGAAUUCCUGGUGUAGCGGUGAAAUGCGCAGAUAUCAGGAGGAACACCGGUGGCGAAGGCGGAUCUCUAGGCCAUUACUGACGCUGAGGAGCGAAAGCGUGGGGAGCGAACAGG
rnacentral:rRNA from 1 species